GAUGAACGCUAGCUACAGGCUUAACACAUGCGAGUCGAGGGGAAACGAUAGGGAAAGCUUGCUUUUUCUAGGCGUCGACCGGCGCACGGGUGAGUAACGCGUAUCCAACCUGCCCAUCACUUGGGGAUAACCUUGCGAAAGUAAGACUAAUACCCAAUGACGUCUCUAGAAGACAUCUGAAGGAGAUUAAAGAUUUAUCGGUGAUGGAUGGGGAUGCGUCUGAUUAGCUUGUUGGCGGGGUAACGGCCCACCAAGGCGACGAUCAGUAGGGGUUCGGAGAGGAAGGUCCCCCACAUUGGAACUGAGACACGGUCCAAACUCCUACGGGAGGCAGCAGUGAGGAAUAUUGGUCAAUGGACGAGAGUCUGAACCAGCCAAGUAGCGUGCAGGAAGACGGCCCUAUGGGUUGUAAACUGCUUUUAUAAGGGAAUAAAGUGAGUCUCGUGAGACUUUUUGUAUGUACCUUAUGAAUAAGGACCGGCUAAUUCCGUGCCAGCCGCCGCCGUAA
rnacentral:rRNA from 1 species